rnacentral:rRNA from 1 species
GACGAACGCUGGCGGCGUGCCUAAUACAUGCAAGUCGAGCGGACGGAUGGGAGCUUGCUCCCAGACCGUCAGCGGCGGACGGGUUAGUAACACGUGGGCAACCUGCCUGUAAGACUGGGAUAACUCCGGGAAACCGGGGCUAAUACCGGAUAACUCUUUCCCUCACCUGAGGGAAAGCUGAAAGAUGGCAUCUCGCUAUCACUUACAGAUGGGCCCGCGGCGCAUUAGCUAGUUGGUGAGGUAACGGCUCACCAAGGCGACGAUGCGUAGCCGACCUGAGAGGGUGAUCGGCCACACUGGGACUGAGACACGGCCCAGACUCCUACGGGAGGCAGCAGUAGGGAAUCUUCCGCAAUGGACGAAAGUCUGACGGAGCAACGCCGCGUGAGUGAUGAAGGUUUUCGGAUCGUAAAACUCUGUUGUCAGGGAAGAACAAGUACCGGAGUAACUGCCGGUACCUUGACGGUACCUGACCAGAAAGCCACGGCUAACUACGUG